UCCUUACACAAAUUUAGGAGUGAGCACAAUAUAACCAAGUUGCAGAAAGUUGUAUAACCUGUGUGAGAGCCCUUGAGAAGUGACAGCAACACCCUGACUGCCCCAAGAUGUGUGAGUAUUGCACAAGUGAGAGCCAUGUCCUGGAUGUUGCGGGAAUGCGCCCAUCCGAGCUGGAUCUUCUGCUGGAGCUGAUGAAGGGUCACACCGGUUCCUCUCUGCUCUGACACAACCAGAGCAGCCCUACAGACAGUUCUUUGCAGAUUUCAUUGUAAUUUCACUGUAAAUAAGUGAAGUCCUAGAAGCACGGAAUUGUUAAGGUUUGAAAAGACCUCUGAGAUCAUCAAGUACCAACCUUUGACCAAACACCACCACCUUUGAGCAAAACCAGACCACGGCAUCAAGCACCACAUCCAGUCCUCGAAGUCCUGAGGGAGAAAACCCACACCAGAACCUUUCUGGAGGUGACCUGAUGUUAUCUGACCCUCCAUCUUUGCUGUUGGGAGCAGUUCUGCCCAGUUCAUCAGAAGCGGCAGUUCCAGGUGUUCUCAAUUCACGCUGACGGGGCACUGUGAGGGGUUAUGCACAGGCACUGCCUGAGGCACGGCGCCUUCCUGCCCACCGGGCGUGAGGGAACCCAGGCAUUGAGGGGAGACCCGCCUGGGCCUGAGGGGACUGGCAGGGCAUGAGGAGACCAAUCCAGAACAUGACUAGCUGUUCUCCAGCUUUGCAUAGGCCUUGGAAAGGAAGGGAGCUUCUGACUUCAGAGCAAAAUAGGAAGAAACAUGCCAGUGGAAGGAAAUGUUACUGGAGCUGAAGGUGCUGCUUUGGGGCAGCUCUGAGGCUGAGUUUUCAGUCCAUAGACACUUCUUCUUGAACAGCAAGAGAAACAUAAUUCAAAGCUAUUCCACUUGAAUAAUAUGCCUUCACAAACUCCUGGGAUUUGCCUUUCAGUGUGAAUUUCUACAGUGCUUAUGUGAAGAUACAGAUUUCUUUUGUGUUGUAAGAUUUCUGCAGUAUCUGAACCUUGAACAUUUUAACAUAGUCCUAUGAUCCCCAGCUUGUCACUUUUCCUGGAAUUGCUGCAAUAAUGUUGAAAUAGAACAAUAAAUCCACUGUGAUGAUGAAUGUUUUGAGCAAAAAGGCUGCAGCACUUUGUCCACAUAACCAAGGAUUGAUCAGACCAAGAGUGCUGUAAAACUCAGCCACCACUUCUGCCAUUCCUUUUCUGCUGCUGAAAACUGGUGAUUCUUCUUUUAGAAGUGCAGAGGGAAGGACUCUCUUCCCCUCCCUCUGCUUCCAGAUGAAAAGUUGUAGUUUCUCCCCACUAACACAAUACCAGUACAUUUGCCAUCUUUUCAGUCCUGUGUUGGGAAUUCAUUGUACAGUGUGGGUCUUCUUGGAUUAAUUGAUAAUAAUGCCAGCAUAGCUGCAUGUGCUACAGCAUUUACGUCUUUCUUUUUAUCACUCACAGUAAGAAUGUAAGAAAAUACUUGGAAGUACUUAUCAGCCAGUUUGCUUCUUUCAG